rnacentral:tRNA from 4 species
GCCCCCAUAGUUCAGUGGAUAGAAUGUUUCCUUGCGGAGGAAAUGAUUCCGGUUCGAGUCCGGAUGGGGGCA